GGGAAUGGCAGCAGCCGUUUUCCAAAAAUCUUACCAUGCCUUUUGGAAAGUUCUAAGAGGAUAUCGUCGUAAUGAUUACUUUCGGUGUAGUUGGUACGGGAUAGAGAAGACUGUGAACGCUUUCAAAGAGGAUAGAACGGUUAGAAACGGAUAUGGGCGGAUAUUUUCGUUCACUGCUCUUCGAGCUGCUCUUCAUCCUGUCAGCAAAAUGUCAAUUUUCAGACAGAUGGAAAAAGAAAGCAAAUAAUUAUUUUGUUCUUCCGAGAAGUAGUUCAGCUGGAAAAUACCAUUAUUUAUGAAUACUGAAUAAAAAAAUUACAAAAAAAUUGUGAUCUUGAAAACGGCAAGAUUGUGUCCUUGAAGAAAUGACGUUUUUGUGGAUGCUCGGGUAGACAUAAAAUAACAUAUGUUUGCUCGGGCAAAAGCCAACUGCUCGCUUUGUGUUCCUCCCGGGAACAUAACGUGUCGUCCGGACGCUGGACAAUAAGCAACGUUGUGAGCCACAUCACCGACGUCCACAAAAUAUAGUGUUCUCCCGGUUCUCUCCAACGCUAAUGCUCUUCAGCGCAGUGACUACCGGCAAGCGUAUCAAUAUUGACCCAACCGACUCAUCUCCAGUUGUUGCAGUGCAGCUCUAGUCAAGGCUCUAGUUGUAUGCUGGACUCUCGGCAGAACUCGGGGGAUGAAGCUGGCAGGUUGAUGCGUGAGAUGAGGGUGAUAAAUUUGAGCGUUUUCAGUAGAUUCAAUCGUUCAGCUAUGUUUUUUAACUCGGUUCAUCAUAAACAAACUUACUUUUCAUCUUAGGGGUAGAUCCGAUGAUUCCGUCGAUUCCAUGGGUAGAUUUCGACUUGGAUUUCGAUUCCGGGUCGUUCCGGGUAAGGAUCAACGAGCCGAUCAGGAUUCCGACUUCUGUUUUGAUUUUUUUUUCGUUUUGACAUUUCUCUUUCGUAAAAACAUUCUUACUGGAGUGCGUUCACGAUGAAAUCACCGUGAGCGCUUUCAAAUCGUUGGAGGUUUGAACACGGUUAGAAACGGAUAGCGACGGAUAGAUGGGAGUUUGGGAAGGAUAUGAAAAAAACAAUUUCUUAGGAGCAUUUAUUCGGGAGUUUGGAGGAAAAGUAGAGAAAUUCACAAAAAAUCCGGAUCUGCCAUUCCCCUCGGAGGCGAGACAUUAUUGCCAGCCCCGGCCGGAAUUUAUCCGCCGCUUUGGCGUCUCCCUCCUUUGAGGCGAGACAUUAUUGCCAGCUCCGGCCGGAAUUUAUCCGCCGCUUUGGCGUCUCCCUUCUCUGAGGCGAGACAUUAUUGCCAGCCCCGGCCGGAAUUUAUCCGCCGCUUUGGCGUCUCCCUCCUUUGAGGCGAGACAUUAUUGCCAGCCCCGGCCAGAUUUUCAUCUGCCGCUUUGGCGUCUCCCUCAUUUGAGGCGAGACAUUAUUGCCGUCCACGGCCGGGUUUUUCACCCGCCGCUUCGGCAUCUCCCUCUUUCGAGGCGAGAUUUUACGAUUUCCCUCUUGUCUGAUCCGAGCAGAUGCUAUCCGUCGGAAAACAGACUAUUUAUAAUUACCUAUUCCAAUUUUAUUCAGAUCUGCUUCUUGUCCUUUCGUUUUUCUCCUUGUUUUUCACGAGGUGUGCAGCCAGAAACACGAAAGUGAUUUCCUUUCAAAUAUCCGCCGAUCCUUUCCCUUCUUCACGUUGGUUUCCUGUCUCCUCGUAUCCGUUGCUUCAGAAGUUAAAUCUUCGCAGACUCUUGUUAAACGAGCGGGUUCUUGCUCGUCGCCAAUGUGAUACCCUUCAGCUUGACAGCUCAAGUAAUAAUAAUCCUAUCAACGCCAUGGCCUACUCAGUGAUGUACCAAACUACCACAAUAAAAGUUAGAUAAUUUUAGGCGUUUAGCGAUAAAUAAUGUUGAAAUCAUUAAAAAUUACCUUUGUGCAAAUUCAAAUUUGGAGAAUGAAGUGAAUGGUUCGAUAACUCGACAGUUCUUCAAAAUAUCAUGACAAUUGAAAGGAAAUACAAAAAUCUAGAGCAUAAUAUGCUGUAGCCUGAAGAAAGAUGGUAAAAAUCAUCAAAACGGUUCGUUUUGUUGAAUAAACAAAGUGUAUUUAUAAUUUCUGAAGCAAUCUAUAGAGAGUUAACUGUAUCACAGAAUGUGUAUUGAGUUUUCCAAAUAUUUUUUUUUGGUUGAAAUGCGAGUUGAAAUGUGAAGAAGACGGCUACAUGUUGCUAUAGAAAUAAAAAGAAUAAUGAG